rnacentral:sRNA from 1 species
GGAUGUGAGGACGACCUAGCUGCGACAUCUGUCACCCGUGGAUCGCCAGGGUUGAUCUGGCUGGCUAGGUGUGUGUCCCCUUCCUUCCUUCCUUCC